rnacentral:rRNA from 1 species
AAUGGGCGAAAGCCUGACGGAGCAACGCCGCGUGAGGGAUGAAGGCUCUGGGCUGUAAACCUCUUUUAUCAAGGAAGAAGAUCUGACGGUACUUGAUGAAUAAGCACCGGCUAACUCCGUGCCAGCAGCCGCGGUAAUACGGAGGGUGCAAGCGUUGUCCGGAAUCAUUGGGUGUAAAGGGUACGUAGGCGGGAGCCUAAGUCUGGGGUGAAUUCUUGCCGCUUAACGGUAAAAUGGCCUUGGAUACUGGGUUUCUUGAGUGCAGAAGAGGCAGGUGGAAUUCGUGGUGUAGCGGUGAAAUGCAUAGAUAUCACGAAGAACAUCAGUGGCGAAGGCGGCCUGCUGGUCCGCAACUGACGCUGAGGUACGAAAGCGUGGGGAGCGAACAGGAUU